rnacentral:rRNA from 1 species
GGCGGACGGGUGAGUAAUGUCUGGGAAACUGCCUGAUGGAGGGGGAUAACUACUGGAAACGGUAGCUAAUACCGCAUAACGUCUUCGGACCAAAGAGGGGGACCUUCGGGCCUCUUGCCAUCAGAUGUGCCCAGAUGGGAUUAGCUAGUAGGUGAGGUAAUGGCUCACCUAGGCGACGAUCCCUAGCUGGUCUGAGAGGAUGACCAGCCACACUGGAACUGAGACACGGUCCAGACUCCUACGGGAGGCAGCAGUGGGGAAUAUUGCACAAUGGGCGCAAGCCUGAUGCAGCCAUGCCGCGUGUAUGAAGAAGGCCUUCGGGUUGUAAAGUACUUUCAGCGAGGAGGAAGGCAUUGUGGUUAAUAACCGCAGUGAUUGACGUUACUCGCAGAAGAAGCACCGGCUAACUCCGUGCCAGCAGCCGCGGUAAUACGGAGGGUGCAAGCGUUAAUCGGAAUUACUGGGCGUAAAGCGCACGCAGGCGGUCUGUCAAGUCGGAUGUG